AGUAUAUCAGAAGAAAAGCGAAUUUGUUGGUCCUGAUUUCUCUCAUCUGUGACGUGACAGUGUUCUGUAUGUUGUUUUUCAACAACAGAUAGUCUCCUUUUGACAACUUGUACCUUCUCUGAAACCUGCUUGCUUGAGAGAUACUCAAUGAAUUCUGAGAGUUUGCACUACUCCAGGAUAUCUCUGAACCAUAGGUGGAUCUAAAUCAGCCACUCUGUAGGAAGAGGAUUUCUUUUCUGAUAAGAGAGGUGUACAGUGUUUCCUACUACAGUUAAGCACACAUUUAGAUAGGAGAGAGAAAUGAAUCAUCAAUUCCAAAGAAGCUCUGAAGGAGCACCAGGAACCAUGGUUUCUCAGUCUGUCUGAAAGCUGGCUGCAACCCCUGACAGCUAUUGGCCAAGAAAAAUUAUUAUACCCACUCCAAUUCACUGUAACUGCCUA